rnacentral:lncRNA from 1 species
UUGUCAUACCCCAAAUUUUGACCUAAGGUCCCACUGACACACGUCUCCGAACUCGGACCAGACUCACAUUUCAGUAAAAAAUUCGGCAGGGAGGUAUUUUGAAAUACCUCAUAAAGUUCCGAAUCGGGCCCUCUUCUCUCAGUUUUUAAUUAUUUAUUUCCAUCUUUUAAUUUAGAACUCUAAUUUUAAUUUUAGUCCAAUUUAGAUUAAAUUUCUUUUAUUCCCAUUUUAAAUUUUCCUUUUUAUCCUUUUUAAAACCAAAAAUAUAGACAUUAUCCUUUUAUUAUUAAUUUUUUCUUUUUAAUUAAAGUCCCAAAAUUGUCCAGUGAUAAGUCCAACAAAAUAGUCCAAAUUCAGAUAAACAGUCUCUCAUCUCAAUCCUUAUACACGUUCUGUUCCUUUUCCAUCCCAAUCCAAAUCCAGUUCAUGCCUCAUCUGAAACAAAUCCAGUAAAAAACAGACGCAUUUCCCUUUUUCUCCUCCACAAGCUACUGAUUUUUUGCUCAUCAGUAACAAAUCCUAGCCUCAAACUCACUCUAUAAAUAGAGACCUGCACAACAAAGAAAAAGACACAAAAAA